rnacentral:rRNA from 1 species
GGAUAACUUACCCUUAGGACUGGGAUAACUCUGGGAAACUGGGGAUAAUACUGGAUAUUAGGCUAUGCCUGGAAUGGUUUGCCUUUGAAAUGUUUUUUUUCGCCUAAGGAUAGGUCUGCGGCUGAUUAGGUCGUUGGUGGGGUAAUGGCCCACCAAGCCGAUGAUCGGUACGGGUUGUGAGAGCAAGGGCCCGGAGAUGGAACCUGAGACAAGGUUCCAGACCCUACGGGGUGCAGCAGGCGCGAAACCUCCGCAAUGUACGAAAGUGCGACGGGGGGAUCCCAAGUGUUAUGCUUUUUUGUAUGACUUUUCAUUAGUGUAAAAAGCUUUUAGAAUAAGAGCUGGGCAAGACCGGUGCCAGCCGCCGCGGUAACACCGGCAGCUCGAGUGGUAGCUGUUUUUAUUGGGCCUAAAGCGUUCGUAGCCGGUUUGAUAAGUCUUUGGUGAAAGCUUGUAGCUUAACUAUAAGAAUUGCUGGAGAUACUAUUAGACUUGAAGUCGGGAGAGGUUAGAGGUACUACCGGGGUAGGGGUGAAAUCCUAUAAUCCUGGGAGGACCACCUGUGGCGAAGGCGUCUAACUGGAACGAUCUUGACGGUGAGUAACGAAAGCCAGGGGCGCGAACCGGAUUAGAUACCCGGGUAGUCCUGGCCGUAAACGAUGUGGACUUGGUGUUGGAAUGGCUUUGAGUUGUUCCGGUGCCGAAGGGAAGCUGUUAAGUCCACCGCCUGGGAAGUACGGUCGCAAGACUGAAA